GGGUUGUGAGGUUAAGCGACUAAGCGUACACGGUGGAUGCCCUGGCAGUCAGAGGCGAUGAAGGACGUGCUAAUCUGCGAUAAGCGCCGGUAAGGUGAUAUGAACCGUUAUAACCGGCGAUUUCCGAAUGGGGAAACCCAGUGUGAUUCGUCACACUAUCAUUAACUGAAUCCAUAGGUUAAUGAGGCGAACCGGGGGAACUGAAACAUCUAAGUACCCCGAGGAAAAGAAAUCAACCGAGAUUCCCCCAGUAGCGGCGAGCGAACGGGGAGGAGCCCAGAGCCUGAAUCAGCAUGUGUGUUAGUGGAAGCGUCUGGAAAGGCGCGCGAUACAGGGUGACAGCCCCGUACACAAAAGCGCAUGUGCUGUGAGCUCGAUGAGUAGGGCGGGACACGUGGUAUCCUGUCUGAAUAUGGGGGGACCAUCCUCCAAGGCUAAAUACUCCUGACUGACCGAUAGUGAACCAGUACCGUGAGGGAAAGGCGAAAAGAACCCCGGCGAGGGGAGUGAAAAAGAACCUGAAACCGUGUACGUACAAGCAGUGGGAGCACCCUUCGGGGUGUGACUGCGUACCUUUUGUAUAAUGGGUCAGCGACUUAUAUUCUGUAGCAAGGUUAACCGUAUAGGGGAGCCGGAGGGAAACCGAGUCUUAAUUGGGCGUUAAGUUGCAGGGUAUAGACCCGAAACCCGGUGAUCUAGCCAUGGGCAGGUUGAAGGUUGGGUAACACUAACUGGAGGACCGAACCGACUAAUGUUGAAAAAUUAGCGGAUGACCUGUGGCUGGGGGUGAAAGGCCAAUCAAACCGGGAGAUAGCUGGUUCUCCCCGAAAGCUAUUUAGGUAGCGCCUCGUGAAUUCAUCUCCGGGGGUAGAGCACUGUUUCGGCUAGGGGGCCAUCCCGGCUUACCAACCCGAUGCAAACUGCGAAUACCGGAGAAUGUUAUCACGGGAGACACACGGCGGGUGCUAACGUCCGUCGUGAAGAGGGAAACAACCCAGACCGCCAGCUAAGGUCCCAAAGUCAUGGUUAAGUGGGAAACGAUGUGGGAAGGCCCAGACAGCCAGGAUGUUGGCUUAGAAGCAGCCAUCAUUUAAAGAAAGCGUAAUAGCUCACUGGUCGAGUCGGCCUGCGCGGAAGAUGUAACGGGGCUAAACCAUGCACCGAAGCUGCGGCAGCGAACGUAUCACCCAAGACAACUUUACGGAGUUGACGAUUGACGGAGCGAAGCGACGUCAAAGCGUUCAUUAAAGUCGAGUUGGCUUAGGGAUACGUUCGUUGGGUAGGGGAGCGUUCUGUAAGCCUGUGAAGGUGUGUCGUGAGGCAUGCUGGAGGUAUCAGAAGUGCGAAUGCUGACAUAAGUAACGAUAAAGCGGGUGAAAAGCCCGCUCGCCGGAAGACCAAGGGUUCCUGUCCAACGUUAAUCGGGGCAGGGUGAGUCGACCCCUAAGGCGAGGCCGAAAGGCGUAGUCGAUGGGAAACGGGUUAAUAUUCCCGUACUUGGUGUUACUGCGAAGGGGGGACGGAGAAGGCUAUGUUGGCCGGGCGACGGUUGUCCCGGUUUAAGGGUGUAGGUGUGUGUUCCAGGUAAAUCCGGUUCACUUUAACACUGAGGCGUGACGACGAGGCACUACGGUGCUGAAGCAACAAAUGCCCUGCUUCCAGGAAAAGCCUCUAAGCAUCAGGUAACACGAAAUCGUACCCCAAACCGACACAGGUGGUCAGGUAGAGAAUACCAAGGCGCUUGAGAGAACUCGGGUGAAGGAACUAGGCAAAAUGGUGCCGUAACUUCGGGAGAAGGCACGCUGACACGUAGGUGAAGUGAUUUACUCAUGGAGCUGAAGUCAGUCGAAGAUACCAGCUGGCUGCAACUGUUUAUUAAAAACACAGCACUGUGCAAACACGAAAGUGGACGUAUACGGUGUGACGCCUGCCCGGUGCCGGAAGGUUAAUUGAUGGGGUCAGCGUAAGCGAAGCUCCUGAUCGAAGCCCCGGUAAACGGCGGCCGUAACUAUAACGGUCCUAAGGUAGCGAAAUUCCUUGUCGGGUAAGUUCCGACCUGCACGAAUGGCGUAAUGAUGGCCAGGCUGUCUCCACCCGAGACUCAGUGAAAUUGAACUCGCUGUGAAGAUGCAGUGUACCCGCGGCAAGACGGAAAGACCCCGUGAACCUUUACUAUAGCUUGACACUGAACAUUGAGCCUUGAUGUGUAGGAUAGGUGGGAGGCUUUGAAGUGUGGACGCCAGUCUGCAUGGAGCCGACCUUGAAAUACCACCCUUUAAUGUUUGAUGUUCUAACGUGGACCCGUAAUCCGGGUUGCGGACAGUGUCUGGUGGGUAGUUUGACUGGGGCGGUCUCCUCCUAAAGAGUAACGGAGGAGCACGAAGGUUGGCUAAUCCUGGUCGGACAUCAGGAGGUUAGUGCAAUGGCAUAAGCCAGCUUGACUGCGAGCGUGACGGCGCGAGCAGGUGCGAAAGCAGGUCAUAGUGAUCCGGUGGUUCUGAAUGGAAGGGCCAUCGCUCAACGGAUAAAAGGUACUCCGGGGAUAACAGGCUGAUACCGCCCAAGAGUUCAUAUCGACGGCGGUGUUUGGCACCUCGAUGUCGGCUCAUCACAUCCUGGGGCUGAAGUAGGUCCCAAGGGUAUGGCUGUUCGCCAUUUAAAGUGGUACGCGAGCUGGGUUUAGAACGUCGUGAGACAGUUCGGUCCCUAUCUGCCGUGGGCGCUGGAGAACUGAGGGGGGCUGCUCCUAGUACGAGAGGACCGGAGUGGACGCAUCACUGGUGUUCGGGUUGUCAUGCCAAUGGCACUGCCCGGUAGCUAAAUGCGGAAGAGAUAAGUGCUGAAAGCAUCUAAGCACGAAACUUGCCCCGAGAUGAGUUCUCCCUGAGACUUAGAGUCUCCUGAAGGAACGUUGAAGACGACGACGUUGAUAGGCCGGGUGUGUAAGCGCAGCGAUGCGUUGAGCUAACCGGUACUAAUGAACCGUGAGGCUUAACCUUACAACGCCGAAG
rnacentral:rRNA from 2 species